rnacentral:rRNA from 1 species
UCCAGAGGUCCCGAGCGUUGUUCGGAUUCACUGGGCGUAAAGGGUGCGUAGGUGGCGAGGUAAGUCGGAUGUGAAAGCUCGGAGCUCAACUCCGAAAUGGCAUUGGAAACUACCUUGCUCGAGGGUUGGAGGGGGGACUGGAAUACUUGGUGUAGCAGUGAAAUGCGUAGAUAUCAAGUGGAACACCAGUGGCGAAGGCGAGUCCCUGGACAACUCCUGACACUGAGGCACGAAAGCUAGGGGAGCAAACAGG